rnacentral:rRNA from 1 species
UUCCGGUUGAUCCCGCCGGAGGCCAUUGCUAUCGGAAUCCGAUUUAGCCAUGCUAGUCGCACGGGUUCAGACCCGUGGCGAACAGCUCAGUAACACGUGGCCAAACUACCCUGUGGACGAGGAUAAUCUCGGGAAACUGAGGCCAAUCCUUGAUAGGGCUUCCAUCCUGGAGUGGAGGAAGUCCAAAAGUUGCGCUGCAGCACCACAGGAUGUGGCUGCGGCCGAUUAGGUAGACGGUGGGGUAACGGCCCACCGUGCCAGUAAUCGGUACGGGUGAUGAGAGUCAGAGCCCGGAGACGGUAUCUGAGACAAGAUACCGGGCCCUACGGGGCGCAGCAGGCGCGAAACCUUUACACUGCACGACAGUGCGAUAGGGGGAUUCCGAGUGCGAGGGCAUACAGUCCUCGCUUUUCUGGACCGUAAGGAGGUCCAAGAAUAAGGGCUGGGCAAGACCGGUGCCAGCCGCCGCGGUAAUACCGGCAGCCCGAGUGAUGGCCGGUAUUAUUGGGCCUAAAGCGUUCAUAGCCGGCCGGACAAGUCUGUUGGGAAAUCCACGUGCUCAACGCGUGGGCGUCCAGCGGAAACUGUCUGGCUUGGGGCCGGAGGACUCGAGGGGUACGUCCGGGGUAGGAGUGAAAUCCCGUAAUCCUGGACGGACCACCGGUGGCGAAAGCGCCUCGAGAAGACGGACCCGACGGUGAGGAACGAAAGCCAGGGUCUCGAACCGGAUUAGAUACCCGGGUAGUCCUGGCCGUAAACAAUGUCUGCUAGGUGUGGCACAGGCUACGAGCCUGUGCUGUGCCGCAGGGAAGCCGUGAAGCAGACCGCCUGGGAAGUACGUCCGCAAGGAUGAAACUUAAAGGAAUUGGCGGGGGAGCACUACAACCGGAGGAGCCUGCGGUUUAAUUGGAUUCAACGCCGG